CAAGGCGUAGCUAUAACAAAAAGCAUUCAGCUUACACCUGAAAGAUAUCUACCACCCCCGGAUCGCCUUGA
rnacentral:tRNA from 1 species